rnacentral:rRNA from 1 species
AUGUAUUCGUUCGUGCGCUCUUUUGGCCUUUUGCCUCUCCUUUGCGUGACUCACUUACAUUCAAUCUUGAACUGGAUCGGGGUGAUGUGUUUGGAUGAGUUCUGCGAUACGUUUCCAAUCUGGAAAGAAAUCCAGCACAACCCUUUGGUGAGGUCGACAGAUAACUUGCGUGUACUGAAUGAGCCAUGGAGGUGGUUUGUGAAGUCCCUCAACACUGUUGGAUCGUUCAAUCACUGCUAUGGAGUCACCGCCUGCCCCUCUUUUACAAAAGACAAUGUUCUAGUGUCAAGAAGGUUUCAUCAGGCUGUACUUAAAGACCCUGUGGGAUUUAGUUUGUUUGAUCCUGGUCUGAAAUCUCUCUUCAACAGUGAUGCAAAAUGCAAUGGUCAGGCAUUGACGUAUCAUGCAAUUGGUUCUCUGUUUGAGGAUCUCCUGGAAGAGUUUCAGCCAGGGGUGCCAAAACCAUUGGACGUCGAUUGGCUACUCAACUUAAUGAGUAAAGACCUGGUUUCGCUUGAAGUCGAGGACAUGAUAGUCAACAAUCCAUGCUUGAUGAGCAAUCCAGGUCGGAUUGGUUUCACCAAUUAUACACACCACCUCUUAAGCAAUGUGCUUGCGAGCAGCAAUGACCCACUGGACACGAUGACUCUUCAAGAUGCGAUCUCUUCACUUGCGACAUNNNNNNNNNNNNNNNNNNNNNNNNNNNNNNNNNNNNNNNCGAACGCGACAUAUUAUUCAGCAAACUCUUUGAUUUCGGUAACGGUGGCAGCAUACUCACGGCUGAUGCCAUGCGGAGGGCAUGUGUUGUAA